UAGAAAGAGUCGUACAUUGAUCGAGAAUUACCUUCCUAGUCAUCCAGGACUCCUGUUCCUUUCUCUAGUCUAGUAUAAGUCCUCAGAGUUUGAAAAUACUCGUGCAAUCCUGUAUCUUUCAACAAAGUUGAUCGUUAAGAAAAAUCAAUAAAAGUGCUUUGUUUUUCCACUUGUGAGAGUUCUUUUUUUCUCACAGUUCAGACACUAUAAUCUUUCCUCUAGUCAUGAAAUAAAAGCGUAACCAUGUCUCCUCUUGAAAUGAUAAAUGUCAAAAACGGCCACAUCUUCUAAAACUUUAUUGUUCCAAUAAAAGUCUUACAGCAUCCACAACAGCCUAAAAUUCCAUAAAUCUCAUCCUUUCCUCAGGAAACCAUCCCUAAUCCCUUAGCAAACUUACACAUACAAAGUCAAAUCUAACCACAAAAUUCUUUAUAGGAGGCUUUAUGAGAGACUUCCUCAAGCUUUCCUAGAUAAAUUGUUUGUGUCUUAUGUGUGCAUGCAUAUAGACUGUUUACUUGACAUCUGCAUCAGCACUACAUAUUCAUCAAUCAUUAUUAACAGAUUCUCCAAGUUAACUAAAAAUGCUUCUAUAAGGUGUUUCACGGGACAUAAGUUAUUGGUUCUUUAUCCAUAUAUAAGUAUACAAGUCAUCAAUUAAUGGCCAUGCCCUAAUUGUUAACAGUAAACCGAGUUUGGUGCCCCAAGAUUUGUAUGUGCCUCUAUGUCGAGCUGUAAAAGAUACUAUAGAAGGCAAUCGCCAAUUUGAGACACUCAAUAGUUGAAAAUUAUAUUAGAACCCACCACCCACAUGCAUAAUUAUAUUUUAUGAUGUUCUUAUUGGAACCUAUAAACACCAAAUUGACUGCAUAUGGAACUCAUCAUACAUGAAUCAUGAUAUCACAAAGUUUUUGGUAUUAAUAAAAUCAAAUAAAGAUAGAAAGUGAGAUGCAGUAGUAAUAAAAGAAUACACGUUUUACUGUACAGAUGUCAAACAGAUAGAAAUUUUUGUGUGGUAAUCCCAAAAGGAUGGUAUAAGCCUGGGGAAACGAGAAACAGCACCCAACUGCCAAUGCUAGAAACUUUCAAAUCUUACCUACAUAACUAAACCCCGUGUGUCAGUGAAAUCUUUCUAGAUCUGUUCUGAGUUUAUUGCUAUAUACUGUUAACCACCUCAUAUAAAUGUCAUUUUACAUAAAUAAAAAGGGUACAUAAACCGUGAACUGUUAACUCCUUAUUGAACACAUCCUUUUCUUCCGAAGGAUGAGACCAAAUUCAAAAAUAUUGAUCAAAAUCAACAUCACAAGCAAAGUUGCAAGCUAUUGAAGCAUCCAGGAUCAGGCAUAUAAUGUCUUGCACAUUAAAAAUCAUUACCAUGCAUAACCACGACUCUUUUCUCUUUUCAAAACAUCGUAAAUGGGAAAAAAAUUAAAAAAUAAAUAAAUAUAAAACUGCAUUCGCAUAUAAAGCGGGAGAGUUGAGGUAAUCACCUCUACAGAAUUGGGAUCCAGAGUGGUGCUGUUUUUUGCUGCUUCUCCUUGAUUCAUUUUCACCUCAUUAACAUUCUAAAAAAUCUAUCAUUUAAAGUGUAAAUGUCAAUUCCAAAUCGCCAUUGUAAGGAUUUUUAAUUAAAGAUGGGCUUGUAUGUGUGAAUAAUUGUGUGUUAAAUUAUAGGCAAUCGAAUUCGGUUGAACCCAAUUAAAGUGAUCUAAUAAGGC
rnacentral:lncRNA from 1 species